UGGGGAAUUGUUCGCAAUGGGCGCAAGCCUGACGACGCAACGCCGCGUGGAGGAUGAAGACCUUCGGGUCGUAAACUCCUUUCGAUCGAGACGAAUGGCUUCCGGGUGAACAAUCCGGAAGAGUGACGGUACCGAGAGAAGAAGCCCCGGCUAACUCCGUGCCAGCAGCCGCGGUAAUACGGGGGGGGCAAGCGUUGUUCGGAAUUACUGGGCGUAAAGGGCUCGUAGGCGGCCAACUAAGUCAAACGUGAAAUCCCUCGGCUUAACCGGGGAACUGCGCUUGAUACUGGAUGGCUUGAGAUUGGGAGAGGGAUGCGGAAUUCCAGGUGUAGCGGUGAAAUGCGUAGAUAUCUGGAGGAACACCGGUGGCGAAGGCGGCAUCCUGGACCAACACUGACGCUGAAGAGCGAAAGCCAGGGGAGCAAACGGGAUUAGAUACCCGCGUAGUCC
rnacentral:rRNA from 1 species